CUGAAAGGAGGUGACCAGGUCACCUGAAAUGGCCCCUCCUAGUUCAGGGAGACUCUUUGGCUCACUUUCCUAGUGGUUCUUGGGAAGUCAGGGAGAUGAUUAUCUGAGUUUUCUGUUGCUAUAACAAAGCACCCAAGGCCAGGUGAUUUAUUUUUUUUAUUUUUUGUGGUGCUGGGGAUUGGACCCGGGGCUUUGUGCAUGCAGGACAAGCACCCUACCAACUGAGCUGUAUCCCCAGCCCGGCCAGGUGACUUAUAAUGAGUGGAAGUUUGUUCAGCUCACAGUUGUGGAGAAUGGCAAGUCAUUAUCAAGGAGCUGACAUCUGGCAAGGGUCCCCUGCUGCACCUUCACAUGGCAGAGGGCGUCACAGGGUGGGAGAGAAAACAUGCCGUACGUAAGUGGAGAAGUCGAGGCCAGGGCUGCUUGCUCCAAGCCACACCAUCAGUGAGUCUGAGGCCAGGGGAGAUUGGACUCCAACUCUAGUGGGUCAGGACGGGCCACUUGCCUGAGGCCCAGUUCAUGGAGGUGCAGAGGAUCAGCUCUUCCCAGCCGAGCGGCCAAUGACCAGGCCAGCUGGAGGCCUCACAGGGCAUCGUCCUCCCUGCCUCUCAAGGGCCCUGUCUGGUUACAGGCUAGCUCUUGUGUGUCCUGUGGGUACCCAGCACUCCGGCCUGAAUCGGGCGCCCAUGUGCUCACUGACAGGGGCUCUGGGCCUCAGGUUUCCUCCCAACACAGGGCUCUUGUGAGGACCAGGGAGAGGAGACCUCGAGCACCAGGUCCCGGGAAGCAGGACGUGUGGGAAUCUGCAGGAGAGGGCCACUUGUGCAGGAGAGCACCAGGUUUAGAUGUGGGUUAUCCCCUGGACGGUCUGUGUGGCCACCAGAAAGUUGCUCUUGUCCUCUGUAGAGAGGGGCUCCUCACCAUAAGCACAUCUAGUGAGGGACUAUUGGGAGGAUCUCACCUAGUCUUCAAAACAGGACGGCCCGACGCUCCCUGCCUUCCCGGGACUGGAGGGAACCCUUGGAACGUAAGCCCUUCAGUGCUAAAGUAGCAGAGUCCCAGGCAGAUAGGGACGAGGUGGUCAUCUUGCCUUACCAUCGUCCCAUGAGGGAUGAGUUACCUGUGUUGCCCAGGUCUUCAAUUUCAGGAGGUACAGUGAGGUCAUUGAAGCUUGGAUCAUUGCUUAGCUUCACACACACACACACACCUCUUCCCACCACACCUGCGCUGUGAUGUUGGCCUUGGUCCUGUGGCUUGCUUUGGCCAAUGGAACGUCAGUGACCAUGACAGCGGCUGUGGCUUUGAGGUGCUUGUGCAGUUUGGCUUGGUUUGGGCUCCCGUGGUCCACCCGACGAAGACCAUAUCCCGGCUCACUCAUGGCCUGUCAUCCCUGGUUCCAGAUAAAGCAGAAGUGGACUUGAGCCCAACCGCGCUGGACUGUGCUUACAGUCACCUCUGUGUGACCCCACGAGUGUCUUCCAGAUGGCUGGGAAAAGAAGGGAGCAAGGACAUGCCACAAAGAGACGCCGAUGAGCAACAGUUCCGUAAACUCCACAACCCUUUGCAAAGGAUAUACCUCUCAAUAGAAAUUCCAGUAGCUCCGACUAUUCCCAGGGUGCUGGUGGAGAGGGGAGCAGGCGGUGGAGGAGGACACGCUCCUGCCAUGGUCGGGGGGCUGCAGGCCCUGGGUGACUUAAGGCCACCUUUAUGAAACCCAAAAGCUCGACUGAGCCACGCGUUGUUUGGGGAUCCACAUGUGUGUGGCAAAGUCACCAUGGAAACCCAGGGACCGUGGACAACAUCCGGCAGGCCCGUCCUCCUGGAAGCAGCAGAACUCGAAGCUCAGGCGUGCUGGUGAGGCCUGGGAGCGAGCCCUGGUUCGCCACUCCCUGGGGUCCUGAGCCAGGAAGGCCAACUCCCUGCGCCUCUGGUCUCCUGCUCUGUAAGCUGGGCCGGGACGGCAACAGCACCACCUUCCGCCACCUCUUAGGAGGAGACGCGGCUGUGGCGCCCACACCUGGGUGCAAUUAGUGGACCGUGCUGCACACCUCAGUGUGAUCAAGUGAAUGAAUGCCGUGGGUUACUGCGUAGAUACGACUGUUACACAACAAACAGACUGGGGGGGGGGGGACACUCAUCAGUCCUCACCACGUCCACACCGACCGGGCAUGUGCUCACCCCGCUCAGCGGAAGCAAGCAGAUGAGAGUCGGCCCAGCACCGACCCAUUCCCAAGGGUAAGGCAGUGGGCGCGUACUAGGAAAGACGCCUUUCACCCAGGUGCAUGGACAGAGGUCGGAAGCGUGUCCCUGGGGAGGAAGAGCCUUUCACUCAGCGGCUUCAGGUCCCUCGCCCGGCAGGUCCCUUGCCCGGUAUGGACUGGACGGUCCCCGGGCUGGACCGACUCCAGGUCCGUCUGGCCAGCGAUCCCGCCCAGCGCUGUGGACGGGAGGGGCCCCGAGUGCCUGGGAGGAGCUGGCUGAGGAGUUCAAUAAUUAAUUUGCCACAAUUAAACCCAAGACUUGUGACUCCAGCAGCAGAUAAGCCGGGGCAGAGCUAACAAGGAGGCAGGGAGGGGUGGCUUGGGCAAACCGGUUGUGAAGGGUGACUGGUGUAGAUAGGGCCUGUCAUUGCUUUAUUGUGGCAAUAACUUUGUCGUUAGCAUCUGGAGAUCUAGGAAGGAAGGCGCCGGCUGUCCAUGUCAGGCGGGCAACCCCAGCCAGGCUCAGUCGGCUGCGCCACCAGGGAGGGGCUGGGUCUCAGGCCCAUGGCGGGCAGUGUGCUGGCUCCCCCUCUCCUCCCUGUCUGGGCUGGAAGAGCCCGGAUAGAGUGCUGAGGGCUGACGUUCAGCUAGGGUCAAGAGGAUGCCUUUGUGUAGAGGUGGGGAUUGCUCUACAGGGAAUGGCUUCCCCUGGGAGGCAGGGAAUGAAGCAGGCAAUGUUAGAUUAGACUCCAGUAAGAACUUUCUCCUGAAGAAGUGAUAAUCACAAGAGCCAUAUUUGCAGAGUGCUUGCUCUGUGCCAGUGCUAGAUGUGUUAUGCCAAUUCACUUAUUCCUGUCACCCAUAGUUAGGCAUUUUAUCACCCCUUUAUAGAGAUGAGGAAACUGGGUACCUUAGAAGUCAAACACCUUACCCCGGGUCAUAGAGCAACUAAGGGCAGAGACAGGAAGUGAAUGCAGACAGCUUGUUCCCAGUGCCACCUUGUCUCCUCAAGGUCCACCCAUGAGAUGCUGUAGGAUGGGGUUUUCUCUGGAAUCUCCCGUGGUUUUCUUGCUCUGCCACCGCUCAGCCAGUGUGGUCACACAGAGCACACAGAGCACGCGUGUACACAGGUCACACGCACACACCAGACACAUGGUCACACGUGCACAUCGUUCUCCCAGCCAUCCCCACGCGGGUCCUUGGGGAGCUGGGUGACUGAGCAGCUGGGACUGAGGGUCUCCUGCUCGGUCACCUUGGAGGAAUGGGUGGCUUUAGGGAACUGUCGGGACUGAUCCCAUUGGCCAAGCUAGAGGGGGCCCGGGCUGCGCCCUGGUUCCAAGACAGGGAUCUGGAGCAGGGUGUCUCCUAAUGUCCAGCAGCACAAGGCUCCUCUGUCCUUUCUCCCUCCCUGGGUUGUCCCUGCCCCCUGGAAGCCCUGGCUCUUCCUACGGAGCAUGCGCUCCCCUCCCCACCCCCCUCCCCUGGUUCACCUGACUUAUUUAUUUAUUUAUGGCCGGAGCUGUGAGCCAGGGUCAGCUCAGUCCUGCUCCUUUGCCUGCCCGGGCAGCAGGGUAAUGAGUAACCAUAGCGUGCUACAGGCAGCUGUCUCGGACAAGCCCGAGUCGCCCCGGGAGCGAGCGCAUAAGGGAGCGUUUGUUCUGUCCUUUCUCAAUAGUUCCUUGUGCAGGAGGCAGGGUGACGGCGAGGGAGGAGGGGGCAGGGAGGAAGAAAGGGACAGACUGCUUCUCCCCCAGCCCCGUCCUCCCCACCCACACUGACCACCAUGGACUGGAGACUGAGUCCACAGACCCAGCAGGGGCUCCGAGCCUCCACUGUACUCUCCUGGGGAGCCGCAGAGUCCAUGGAGCCCGAGGGCUGGUUUUCACAUGGGCCAGACUGGGUGGGUGAGGUCCCCCAUCUCCCUCCCCGAGUGGACGAACACAACACUUAUUGUUUCCGAGGCCACUUAACGAUCCAAUAAAUCUCCAGACAUCCA